AAUCUGGAAGGUGCUGGCCUAGUGCAUCCAGGUUCCAGCAACUUUGCUCUUAGCCAAGAUCCCAACACAGCUAACUUCCUGCCUCGGAGACUGUUCCAAGAGCACAAGAACGCUGGAGAGGAAAGAGGUCAACACAGAAUUCAUCAUCAUGGGAAAAGGACAACCAAACUGGAUUAUCCCCAAGAGGAGGUGACAAGACUGUAAUGGAUUGGACUGGGAUUAAGCUGGCAGCUUCUGACAUGGCUAUCAAUGAUCCUGUCUCUUGGUAUUCACACUCCUUUGUAAUCUUCUUCCCUUGAGUGUGGGCUGAACCUAGUAACUUGUUUCUAGCAAACAGAAUGCAGCAGAAGUGAUGAUCUGACACUUCCAUGGUUAGGUUGUAGAAGUGUAACUUGUUGGUACUCUCUUGCUCAUCUGAUGAAGCAAGUUGCCUUGUUGUGAGAUGCUCUAUGACAAGAUCUAUGCAACUAGGAACUAAGGAAGACCUCCAGCCAACUACUCAUGAGGAACUUUGGUCUUGUUUGAACUCAUGAAGGACUGCACCCUGCAAACAGCCAUGUGAAUAAGCUAAGAAACAGAUCCUUUCCAGUCAAAUCUGAAGAUGAUUGUAGUGUCCACCUAAGUAUGCCUGGAUUCCUGACCCACAGCAACUGUAAGAUAAUAAAUGUUGUUUUAAGCCA